GAUGAACGCUAGCUACAGGCUUAACACAUGCAAGUCGAGGGGCAGCAUGGUCUUAGCUUGCUAAGGCCGAUGGCGACCGGCGCACGGGUGAGUAACACGUAUCCAACCUGCCGUCUACUCUUGGACAGCCUUCUGAAAGGAGGAUUAAUACAAGAUGGCAUCAUGAGUCCGCAUGUUCACAUGAUUAAAGGUAUUCCGGUAGACGAUGGGGAUGCGUUCCAUUAGAUAGUAGGCGGGGUAACGGCCCACCUAGUCUUCGAUGGAUAGGGGUUCUGAGAGGAAGGUCCCCCACAUUGGAACUGAGACACGGUCCAAACUCCUACGGGAGGCAGCAGUGAGGAAUAUUGGUCAAUGGGCGAGAGCCUGAACCAGCCAAGUAGCGUGAAGGAUGACUGCCCUAUGGGUUGUAAACUUCUUUUAUAAAGGAAUAAAGUCGGGUAUGGAUACCCGUUUGCAUGUACUUUAUGAAUAAGGAUCGGCUAACUCCGUG
rnacentral:rRNA from 1 species